GAAUUCUCAUCUUUUGUUUCAUGUAAUUUCACUGCAAAACAUAAUAUUAUACUGUAUAUUUUAAAUAAAAUUUUAGUGCAUGCACCGAUGGCAGAGAACAUAUGAAGAUGUCUGAUUGCUCAAAAUUUAUAUUUGCUACAAUUUAAGCAAGUCAGUUUUCCUAAUAUAUUAUUAACUGUCUUGUUUUUCAUUUCUUCUUGAGUGGGCCCUGACUAUAGAGGAGUUUAUCAAUUAAAGAUGUCUGUAUUGCUUCAUUUUAAUAUUCAAAAUCUGUCUUUAUGAUUAGAACUGCAGAUUAACGUCCAACUUUCUUCAUAGUUAUACUAUUUUUGAAGUUCUAGAUUGUGUUAAAUUGUUGACAUUCAAUGUUGUUUGCACUUCAAGAGGAAAUGAUCAGAGGUUUAACGAGAUUGAGCUGGGAACGUAUUGAUGUCAACUUCAGUGGAAGUGUGCAAAGAUUUCUUGCACAUAAUACUAUUCAGGUGAAAACGUACUGCAUAAAUUCUGCCGGAGCCGAUGUAAUACAGCAUAUGAUCGACAAUUUUGUAUUAUAGAAAAGUGUACACCGACGCAAACCCGCUUUAUUUUUUGAUGUAAUUAUCUGAACCAGAAAGAAAUUUAGUAAGGAUAAUUUUCUGUUGUGUAACUUAUACAUUGAGUCACAAAAGUAUUGAGAAAGAGUUAAUUCUGUGCUGCUACUGCUACUUAUCUUUACCUUCAUUGGUUGCUUUUGCCAAUUUACUGAUGCAUCUGAAAUUGCAAUAAGAAAUUCUUUGUUUAAUUGA